rnacentral:rRNA from 1 species
GAAUAUUGGACAAUGGGCGAAAGCCUGAUCCAGCCAUGCCGCGUGUGUGAAGAAGGUCUUCGGAUUGUAAAGCACUUUAAGUUGGGAGGAAGGGCAGUAAGUUAAUACCUUGCUGUUUUGACGUUACCGACAGAAUAAGCACCGGCUAACUCUGUGCCAGCAGCCGCGGUAAUACAGAGGGUGCAAGCGUUAAUCGGAAUUACUGGGCGUAAAGCGCGCGUAGGUGGUUCGUUAAGUUGGAUGUGAAAGCCCCGGGCUCAACCUGGGAACUGCAUCCAAAACUGGCGAGCGAGAGUAUGGUAGAGGGUGGUGGAAUUUCCUGUGUAGCGGUGAAAUGCGUAGAUAUAGGAAGGAACACCAGUGGCGAAGGCGACCACCUGGACUGAUACUGACACUGAGGUGCGAAAGCGUGGGGAGCAAACAG